GAAAAUUGCAUAAAGUCCAUUUU
rnacentral:snRNA from 1 species